rfam:Gaeumannomyces graminis var. tritici R3-111a-1 unplaced genomic scaffold supercont2.1, whole genome shotgun sequence.
UCCGAUAUGGUGUAGUGGCUAACAUCCGGCACUCUCAACCGACCUCCCAGUCCCGAGUCCUGCCGAGCCCGGGGUUCGAUUCCCCGUAUCGGAG